UAACAACCAAUAUAUACGAUCAAUGCUUCAAAAUGACAAUAGAGAUUCCAACACAGAAUACACAAGCUGAUCUGGCAUCACUAAGUUGAGGUAGAUGACCAAUGAUUCUAGCUAUCAAAUUUCAAUAAGAGAUUCUAACACAGAUUUGGCAUCACCAAGUUGCCACAAAAGCCAUAUUAUCUAACCAGCCAAUAUCGCAAACAAAUGCUUCAAAAUCCAGCAGCUUAAGGAGAAUCCAUCAACUUGAAGUUGAAUAUGUCGUCGCUCCACUAUCCAUCCAGCUUAGCUCUAACUCGGGCGAUGAUGGUGGACUCCAACUAGGUGAAGAAUCGAGUUUUCUAGCCGGAGAAAGUUCGAAGUCCUUGCUUCCUUCUUCGAUUAGCAGCUUGUAGUUCCUCUCAGGACUCUCAGGCUGAGACAUAAGAGGACCAUAUGCAGAAUAAGUAAGAGAUUCCUAAACUGAGUAAUCAGUAAACAAAGUGGAAAGAUCAGCUGUGGAGAAUCAGAACUACUGACCUCGAAACGGGCAGGCAUCGCAAUUACCCUUGGAGAUCCGAACAGCAUAGAACAAUC
rnacentral:lncRNA from 1 species